rnacentral:misc_RNA from 1 species
GAUGAAGAACGUAGCGAAAUGCGAUAAGUAAUGUGAAUUGCAGAAUUCAGUGAAUCAUCGAAUCUUUGAACGCACAUUGCGCCCGCCAGUAUUCUGGCGGGCAUGCCUGUCCGAGCGUCAUUUCAACCCUCGAACCCCUCCGGGGGGUCGGCGUUGGGGAUCGGCACUUACCUGCCGGCCCCGAAAUACAGUGGCGGUCUCGCCGCAGCCUCUCCUGCGCAGUAGUUUGCACACUCGCACCGGGAGCGCGGCGCGGCCACAGCCGUAAAACACCCCAAGCAUUCUGAAAUGUUGACCUCGGAUCAGGUAGGAAUACCCGCUGAACUUAAGCAUAUCAAUAAGCGGAGGA